rnacentral:rRNA from 1 species
GUGAACGCUGGCGGCGUGCUUAAUACAUGCAAGUCGCACGAUGAAGUCCUAGCUUGCUAGGAUGGAUUAGUGGCGCACGGGUGAGUAAUAUAUAGUUAAUCUGCCUUGCACUGAGGAACAACAGUUGGAAACGAUUGCUAAUACCUCAUACUCCAACUUUACAUAAGUUAAGUUGGGAAAGUCUUUUCGGUGCAAGAUGAGACUAUAUCGUAUCAGCUAGUUGGUAAGGUAAUGGCUUACCAAGGCUAUGACGCGUAACUGGUCUGAGAGGAUGAUCAGUCACAUUGGAACUGAGACACGGUCCAAACUCCUACGGGAGGCAGCAGUAAGGAAUAUUGUGCAAUGGGGGAAACCCUGACGCAGCAACGCCGCGUGGAGGAUGACACUUUUCGGAGCGUAAACUCCUUUUGUUAGGGAAGAAUAAUGACGGUACCUAACGAAUAAGCACCGGCUAACUCCGUG